rnacentral:rRNA from 1 species
UAGGGAAUCUUCCGCAAUGGGCGAAAGCCUGACGGAGCAACGCCGCGGGAGUGAUGAAGGUCUUCGGAUCGUAAAACUCUGUUAUUAGGGAAGAACAAAUGUGUAAGUAACUAUGCACGUCUUGACGGUACCUAAUCAGAAAGCCACGGCUAACUACGUGCCAGCAGCCGCGGUAAUACGUAGGUGGCAAGCGUUAUCCGGAAUUAUUGGGCGUAAAGCGCGCGUAGGCGGUUUUUUAAGUCUGAUGUGAAAGCCCACGGCUCAACCGUGGAGGGUCAUUGGAAACUGGAAAACUUGAGUGCAGAAGAGGAAAGUGGAAUUCCAUGUGUAGCGGUGAAAUGCGCAGGGAUAUGGAGGAACACCAGUGGCGAAGGCGACUUUCUGGUCUGUAACUGACGCUGAUGUGCGAAAGCGUGGGGAUCAAACAGG